UUCUUUUGAUUGUAUUUUUAAUUAGCUUUCAAACUAGUUGGGUUUCAUAAGAUUUCUUCAUACAUCCUGAGUUUUGCUUAGCCUUUCUCCAAUUCCUCCUUUCCUCCAGAAAAAGUGUUCUACUUGUAGGAAAUGCACACUAAAGUACUCUGAUUGCACUGAACCCUGGACUGUACAUUACGAUCCUCAGCUGCCUGCCGUCCUCCUAAGAGAAGGCUCUCGGCAUCCACUUGUCUUGGGGAGUGGGAGGGCUACAGAUGGAGAAUCCUGCUUUACCUGAGGUUCUACACUCUGCCCAGAGCAGUCCACAGUUUACAGCUCCUGUUCUGUGGAGUAGAGACCGGGAACUGUCAGCCACCUCAGGACAAUAAAGCAGGGUUAUCCCAGAACUUCCCACGAGUCAGCUGAGGCUUCUCUUCAGACAAGACUAAAACUUCACUGCUUCCCCUGCUGAGCCUGGCCUCCUUUCCCUCCUAAGGUAAGGACUGCAGCAGCAGCGCCCAACAUACUUCUUGCCUGUUUAUCUUUGCCUCACAGACUGCUUCCCAAGGAACUGUAACCUAUAACUGAGAUAACAGAACUUUAUCCAAAGGGAAAGAAAUGUUUAUUAAACAAUACUCAGAAGUCUAUAAAUAUGAGAUUGUACCAAAAAUUUCUAAGUAAUCAAAAAUGAGUGCAGAAAGCACACGAGGAGAACAGCAUUUUAAAAAGCAGAUGAAAAAGGUCUGUGCCUUGAGGCAUGUUCGCUGAGGAAAUACUUCAUUGGAGAGUAUGUUCUAGACAACAAUAGGAAAUAAAAGGAAAUGAGCAAAAAGUAAUCCAGCCAUGCACCGCUUAAUAGGGACGCAUCUGAGAAAAGCGGUAUCAGGAGAUUUGAGUUGUGCAAACACCAGGGAUGCUGUCGGCAGGCUAUUUCCUAUUUCAGAACCACCAUGGUAUAUGCAGUUCAUCAGUGCAAUGGUCUGACUGUAGUCUGACUGUCCUCUAUGGGUGCACUGUGCCCACAGUAGACAGAACUUUACAAGGCUUUGAAUGGUUCCUUGGUCAUUGGGAAUAUGCCCUAAAAGGGAUUAUGGAAACCUAUGAGACACAGGGUCCGUCAGUCUCUCACUCACACCCUCCCUGCACUGCCCCUGACUUUCUGUCUAGAGAUCACACCUCUUGCACCUCUUCUGGUCCACUACUGGCUCUCACAAUCCUAUGCUGAGGUCUGCACUGUGAAGGGAGGGUAGCCAAGAGGCGACUGUAGAGCUUGAACAGCCAAGCUGUUUAGACUCCACCCAAACCUCUGAGCUAAGCUUUAUCUUUUGGUAGCAUUAGCUGUCUCAGGCUCUCACUACAGCAAUACAAAUCCGACAUGGGCACAGCAUGCUUCUGAGGCACAAGUUACACAAUGUUCAUUUCUCAAACAUAUCAAACAUAAAAAAAUAUUAACAGGUACCUGUUUUCUAAUGUCUUUACAAAGCAAGCCCCUCUGAAGCAGAGAAAAAUACUCUAGGAUAAUAUUUUUAAUAUAAGAUCAUUCAUACAUCCAAGUAUAAAUUUCUACCAUUUUGCAGAAUGCUCCACAUCUUAUACCAUCAUUAUCACAUUUGGUUUCACUCUCAAUUCAAAUGUACCUGUCUGCAUAGUUUCAAUUCUCUACUGGAAAACAAAUGAAUAAAAAGCUCUAACCUUUGUUAUUUAAUGUAUAAGUCCUGAACCUUUAACAUGGAAAUCCCUUAGGAAGUAUGAUGUUUUUAGACUUCCUGAGGUAGAAUCUUCAUUUAUACCACAUUUCCUCGGGAUGUGUGUGUAGUACGCAUUGUUAAACCAAGUCUACUUCCCACUGAAAUACAGAGAGCUCCAAAGAGUAUCAUUCGCCUUUAUAAUAAAAUACUUCCAAAGUCAAUUCAAAUCCAAAGCUCCUUUCAGGCUCUACGAGAACAGUAGUCACAGGGCAAGCAACUGGAACCUCAUCAAGAGCCUGCGAGGGCAGAGGAGACAGCACAGUUGUUUACCUGGGAAGCAUGCAGCCUUACACCAUGAAGAGCCCAGCUAGAGCACAUGAAGAGCAAGGAGAGGCAGCGAGAAGGCUGACAGGAGUACAGAGACAAGCUUAGACCGGGUGCUUCUGCCUGAGUCUUCUUGAAGAUUUCUACCCCGAGUUAUAUGAAACGAACCCACAGCGUCUCUGGCAGUGCUCACCCAGAUGGGUAGUGCCUUGGUUCUGACUGCCACUCAAGAGCAACAGACAUGGCUUGGAAGACCUUGGCUCAAAUUCAGGACUAUCUAUGAACUGCAGUGUUUCUGCUACCCACAGAAAGGGUCCUGCUCUUAAAAGAACAGAAUGGUUUAACUACAGAAAACAAAGACAGUAUUUUAGUUCUCCAUCCCUCAGCAUCUUUUUAUUUAUCAAAUUAGUAUGUCUCUAGAUUACAUUGUUAGAGUGCUUAAUUUUUCAAAACUGUCAUUUUUAAGUGGCUUGAUUUCCAUUACCAAAACUGAAUUUCCAACAAUUUCUGACAUGGCCCUAAACACACUUCUGCUAUUUUGUACUAUGUGUUUAUUUAUAUGGAGCCAUAUUCAUGACAGCAAUGGUUAUACAAUCAAAAUAUAAUCAACCUUGAAUAAGACGCUCUGUGCAGAAGCAAAUAUUCAGCCAAGAUUUAGCCUCUACCUAAAAUAAGGAGCAUGUCUAUUCAGUAGUGUGAACGUUAGUUUGUAUAACUACGUCAUAUACCUAUAUCCCCAAGAACCUAUAAAGACUUCUCAGGCAGAAAAAGGGAAUCAUAGCAGGUAAAUAUUUUUUUUCUUUUUUCUUUUUUUUUUUUUCUCUUUUCUUUUUUUCGGAGCUGGGGACCGAACCCAGGGCCUUGCGCUUGCUAGGCAAGCGCCCUACCACUGAGCUAAAUCCCCAACCCCCACAGCAGGUAAAUAUUAAAGAACAUUUAUGCUACAAAACUAAGAUUUAUAUUUCUUGACCCCGAUGCUGCAAGUAAUAUGACCACUGUGUAAACAUAAGAGAUAUUUUUAAUAACAAAUAUGUUUGCCCACUAUAGUGUAGAAAUGAUUUUGAUGGGGGCAUGGGAGAUAGGAAAGAGGAGAGAUCUGUAGAAAAGUCCCUUGGCCCUCUGUUAGUCCCUGCCCCCCCUUUAAAUGUAUGUGUAUGAGUGUUUUGCCUGUUCUAUGUGUAUUUGUGCACCAUGUGGAUGCACUACCCACAGAGGCCACAAGAAGGUGCUGUACCCUGAGACCUGCACUAUAGACCAUUGCGAGCAACUAUGUGGGUGCUGGCUCUGGAACAGCACUCAGUGUGCAGCGCACUAACUCCUGAGCUGGCCCUUCUUAAGUAUUUUCAUUGAAAAAGUUUAACACUGACUACUUAAUUUUUCUGCACUUUGCAAUGACACUGUAGAAAAGUAAAAUAAAAUGGUUGCAGGAAAACAGGAAAAUCACAAUGACAGCAACACUAGACAAGAUGUCAGGCUGUGACAGAAACAGGACUCAAAACCCAGCUACCCCUGAAAUGCUAGCUUUGGUCACUGCCAUCCUUAGACCACAAGCACCUGGAACUCUGAAGGAAUGUGCAAGGCACACAAGGCACAGUGCCAAUGGCUGAUGAUGUGAAAUCAAGAUGUUAAUGGAUUCUGGUCUUAUGAGCACUUCCAUUCUGCUAACACAUUCUUGUAUCCUCCACAGCAACAAGCCCAUGUUCCAGUUCAGCAUGUAAGUUCCCUUCUUCCCUGUCUUCCUAGGGACACGGACCCAGAGCUAUCCGAAUUCACAUCUCCCAGCCAUAAGACCACCUGAGCCCCCCCAAUGUACUUUUAUAGUUUGAACUUACCACAGCUGACAAUUUAUCUAAAUACAAACUAGAAUUCCCUCACUUUAUCUACAUAUGGUACAAAUGUAAAUGCUGGCAACUUCCACUUUGCCUGCAAGCUUCUCACAAAGAACAGACCCUACCUGCUAAAUGGCCCACACAUUUUCUACACAAUGCUGCCAAAAAGAAUGCGAUUUGUUUACAUAUAAAAUUUAAGGUUUUCAUCAUGAAAAAUUUGAAUUAUUUUCCGGUUUUCUUCAAACCUGUAGAAAGCACAGAGUAGUUUUCUGAGAUUACAGCAAUGGAAGAUAACCCUCUAAACAUGUGCCUACAAGGUCACUUUUGUUGUUGGCAACUGGAAAAAAAUCGUGUUUAAAUAUCAUCCUGCUGUGAAACCAUGUUUCAAAAUAUAUAGCAUGAGAAGAAUGCUAUUUUCAAAUUUGCAAAUAAAUUGAGGGUCAGCAAGAUGUAGAGACAGAGAAAGCAGAGCUAUAUGAGCACAUAGAUUGGGAAUCCUGACUGUGAUGAACAAGAAUUCUACUCAGGAAACACCUGUGGAAAUUAGCAUAUUAAUUAAUGAAUUAACAUGAGCACAGAGAUCAGGUAAGAUCUAGCACCAUAGCUCCUUUCCAUACUCCAAGUUCCCUUCACGGAGAUAAACCCUUCCUUAUCUAUAUUUCCUUUUCAGCCAACUAAAUCUUGCUACUCCCCACAUGGCUAUCAGAAACUGCUUCUGACAAAGACACUGCUCCUUUUUGUUCUCGAAGCCAAAGGACCCCACCCAAGCGCCCCUCUCACUAUCUGAAUUGCCAGAUCACUCUCUCUUUUGAAAUGCUCUCUUUGUUACUUAGCAUCCAAAACAUAUCACUAUGAUUUUCCAUCUCUCUCUAGAUAUUCAUCACCAUCUAAUCCUGGUUUUAAUUCUUCACCCGUCCGGCAAGCAUUGGUGUUUCUCAGAGGAACCUUCUAGGACAAUGGUCAUCAACCUGCGGGUCAUGACCCCUUUGAGGGUUGCAUAUCAGAUAUCCUGAAUAUCAGAUAUUUACAUUACGGUUCAUAACAAUAGCAAAAUUAAACUCAAAGUCACAGCAAAAUCAUUUUAUGGUUGGGGUCAGCACAACAUGAGGAACUACAUUAAAGGGUCGAAGCAUUAGGAAGGUUGAAAACCACUGUUCUAGGAGCUUCUUCUUUUACUCUACUCACUCUGCCUGCUUCUGUUAUUACCUAUGUGAGUAGGAUGCUCAAGCUCGAAUAUUUCCCUGGAACACCAGUGUCCCGACACCCUACUAACUACUGAAUAAUUAUCUCACAAGAAUCCAAUAUACAUACAGAAAGCUAUGAAUGAACUCAAAUACUACUUCCCUUACUUUUCCAAACUUUUACACAAUCUUAUUGACUAUUAUGCACUUUGAGAUCUCCUACUGACAAAGCAAUGAUGCCAUGUUUACUUUUCUAUAUUGAAUACAUAUUUGUGCAAAAAUACAGAAGACAGACUAGGAGAUGUUACCAGAUGGGUAUAUUACCAGCUGGAUUCGGUACUGCAGGCCUACAAUGUUACCAAAUGAGUGUGGUACAGUAGGUCCACAAUGUUACCAAAUGAGUGUGGCACAAAAGGACUUCAAUGUUACCAAAUGAGUGUGGUACAAUAGGACUACAAUGAUGUUACCUCCUGGAUAUGGUACUGCAGGCCUAUAAUAACAGCAGCACUUAGGAGGCAGGAUGAUAGUAAGUUUGAAGCAAUCCUACCUCAAAAAUGCAAGCAAACAAACACACACACAAAAAAAAGAUGAUACUGGUAUAUUUGUCUCUGGUUUUGUUUUGUUCCCCACCCCCACCCCCCACCCCCGUUAGCUAUCUGGAUAUUCCUGUCAAUACAAAGUUUAAAAAAAAAAAGUAAAAAUUGAAGUUUUAAAGCUAGACAAAGCUGAGUUAUAACUCAAAUAUGACAAGCAGCUUCAACAUCUUGGGCAAAGUAGCCUUAGCCUCUGUUUCUUACUCUAUAAAAUGUAGCAUCUUCCAAGAGUUGUAAACAAGAGAAGUACAUGGAGAGUCAACUCGGUGUGUGCAGCAUCUCUCAAGCACCCAAAACCUACAAAGCAGCUGUGACAAUGCACUUACACUGCAAAAAGGCAGCAACAGCACACGGCUAAACUCCAAAGUUACUCACUUUCAAAUUACAGAUUUUUUUAAUAUGCUAAAUAGUUUAUCCUAAACUCAGAAGGAAAGCAGAAAAUCUGGACUAAGCCAAGAACACCAUUCUAACUUAAAUUUCUCUGCAACUUGGAGAUCCAUAAAAAGUAAUCCUGCACAGAACUACAUUUCUGGUAUUUAGAACAAUGAUAAUCCAACCACAACCCAGAUACUUGCAAGAAAGAGUUUCACUGAAAAGGCAGAGGCCAGAUAUAUAACCAUGUGAUGGAUGUCUGCAGCUGUCUGAAAAGGGGAUUGGUCCUUGAAGUGUCUGUCGCGAUGAAACAACCUUCUGGGAGUGAAGUGAAAGUUUUGUUUUAUGAGUAAAAGAAAAAUAAGUUAUAAGCACUGUGGAAGAGUAACAAAUGGCAGAGUCGCAUGCCUUAGAAACAGUGGCAGAGAGGCCAAGAAGCACCCUCCUCAGAGGAGGAAAGAGCCACCAGGAAGAGAGCAGAGUUGAAUGUGUAAGCAUUCCAGAGGGAGAUGGAGAGCAGGCUAAGCCCAACAUACCUCACUCUCACUGUGACAGUCUACAGAGAUGCCACCUAAAACAGCUGUGUUCUGCCAGCAUUUGGUGUAAAGACUAGUAAGUCUACAAACAGAAGUAGCCUCGGAGAAAAUCACUGUACCAAAAUACAGUACAGAAGGAUGGUGGCACUUGAUGGAAGGUACAUUAUAAGCAUACUCACAUCUUCUCUAAGACAGAGAAGGAAAUACGACAUCAAAGGCAAGCAGAAUAAACGUUUCAUAGUUUCCUGUGAAACAUUAAUCAGAUUAAGGUGAUUUUCAACAUGUAACUGCUUGUUACAUGAUUGUGUGCCUUAACUGAAAGAAGACAUGAAGCAAUAAGGCGAAGACAAGACUGGAGUCCUGUAAAGCUACAUACUAAUUAAUUCAACCGACUUGAGCAAGAAGCUAAUAAAAUCUGCACGCAGGGAUUUGGUCUCUAUUUGUUCCAGUGAUUUUAUAAGCAGGCAUGCCACAGGAAAGCAGACAAGAAUCUGAUUAUACAAACAUCAUUAUUUUUAGAAAAAUUAAAUCUCUUCUACUAAUGAUUUAAUAUCAGGUCAUACCCAACAUUCAAGAUCACCCAGUUUCUUUCGGUUCCAGCUAACCUUCUUCAUGAGCCUAUAAAUGACUUACUUCACACUAUUCCAACUUUCCCACCCACAAUUUUUUUAUUAAAAAUUUGCUUGCCCCAACUGCUGUCUAAAAAAGAAGAAGAAGAAGUGUCUAUUGGAUGGAAGACGGUAAAUUACACCAGAGCAAUAUUUGACUUAUUUAAAAGCUGUAUUUUCUUUGCUCUGUUUAGAAUUUAGUUAAGUGAAGAAACAACACAACGGAGGAAAACAGUUACUGGUAAAGUUCAGACAGAUGAUAGGCUAGAUAGGUCAGGAAUUAUCUUCUGUCCUUAUCAAGACACAAACACAUGGAAAACAGUGAGGUGGGCAGAGUGGUGGAGUGAAAGCAUGUGGCUAGCAGCAAGCACUGCAGAUGAGAGGACAGACAGGCAGAUGAGACAGGCAGAUGAGAGGACAGACAGGCCCGAACAGCUAAAGAAACAAUGUCAACAUUUCAUGUAAGCCAUGUCUCUCAGCCAGGAGAUUUUGAUAAGCCUCUCUCUGUGAGGUUUCACAUUCUCAACCAUCCAAGAAACAUGUAGCUACAGUUAGAGACAUUUUUGGCCAACACAACUAGGAAAGCGUGCAAGGGUGCCACAGUCAAUGGUAGGUACAGGAUAGAAAUGCUGUUAUAGGCUAUGAGGGGACAGCCCCCACAGCAAACAAUUUCCCAGCCCCAAAUGCCAACACUUAGAAAGUAAAAAAAUCCUGGUAAGGACGGAGGAAUGCUGUACAUCUCGGUGUCUAAAGAAUCACUGUGCUGGCAUCUGAUGGGGGAACAAAUGUUCCAGAUGGGGCCCUGUAACCUUAUAAAAACUAACAUAAUGAUCUGCAAAACCUUCAACAGAAACAUUAAUAUAUAGAUUAAAGGAACUACAACUAUUCUACAUGGUCACUCACAUAAAACGCUAGCUCAUGAUUUCUCUUUCCUUGAAUCUAGAAUAGCCCUAGUGACUUAAUCUCUUGAUCAAUAGCAGGCAGCAAAGAUGACAGUGUGGGCUUCCAAGAUUAGGUCAUAACAAGUUUGUAGGAAGCUGGAUCCAGGACCUCAGAGUUGUCCACAGCUAUCCUCUACCCUUUGAAUAUGCUAUCUAUAUAGCAAAAUGACUUCACAAAUGUGAUUUAAGAUUUUGAGAGCUAUCAUCCUGAAUUCUCAUUGGGUCCUAAACAUCACAAGCUUUGUACAGUGGUGUGUGCCAUAAGGUUUUCCCAGGGCAUGAUUACUGCUCAUGAAAACUAAAUGUAGUCACAAGAGUCCCUACAAGGGGGACGCAAAAAGGUCAAGGGAAAGAAGAUAAUGCAACAACUGAAGCGGAGAUUCAAGUGAUGAGGCUAAGAGCCAAGGAAUGCUAAAAACUGGAAGAAGCAAGGAACAGAUUCUCCCCUGAGACUCCAGAAGGACAAGGUCUGUUGACAAGCACCUUUAAGACUCAUUUUGGACCCUGAGUUGCAAACUCUACAAGAGUGUGUUGUUCUAAGCACCAAGUGGGUACUAAACUUGUUACAGCAGCAAUAGGAAACUGAUACAAAGUUUUACAGCUUCUCCCACCCCCCUUGGAACAUUUUUUUCUAGGAACUCUGACCUAUUACCUAAAUAUUACAGCCAUUCUGAAAUGUCACAGACACUGUUGCUGAGGAAACCUGUAUCUGCCUGGGUCAGCAGUUCUAGCUGGGCCCAGACCCCUGUGAGUAAACCCUUCUUGGACUCUCCGGCUGAGCCCAGUUUGGGCUAGCCCUCUGUGAUGGUUUGUAUAUCCUCAGCCCAGGGAGUGACAGGGUUAGAAGGUGUGGCCUUGUUGGAGUAUCCAUAUCACUGCGGUUGUGGAUAUGGGAUUAAGACUGAAAGUCAGGGGCUGGGGAUUUAGCUCAGUGGUAGAGCGCUUACCUAGGAAGCGCAAGGCCCUGGGUUCAGUCCCCAGCUCCGGAAAAAAAAAAAAAAAAAAAGACUGAAAGUCAGUCUUCUCCUAGCAGCCUUCAGAUGAAGACUAGAACUCUCAGCUCCUCCGGCAUCAUGCCUGCCUGAUGCUGCCAUGCUCCCGCCUUGAUAAUAAUGAACUGAACCUCUGAACCUGUAAGCCAGCCCCAAUUAAAUGCUGUCCUUAUAAGAGUUGCCUUGGACAUAGUGUCUGUUCACAGCAGUAAAACCCUAACUAAGACACCCUCCUUUUAUUCCACUUUUAUUAUCCCAACUGAGGCACUGAAAUGUCUUUAUUCAUGUGUCUUAAUUGGCAUAGGAAAUGCUUUUCUCUUUGAGCAAAAGUUGAGCUCAUCCAAAUCCAUCCCAAAGGCUAAGAGGUAGGCACAACUGUUUCUUUCUCAUAUAGUCCUGAGGAACAGACUGUAAAGAAUAGGGGAAAAGUUUUUGAAGGUACAUGAUCCCUAGUAAUGUGAUCUCCGUGACAAAACUUGUUCAUGUGUAAGCACUCUAUAGUGUCCAACCCAAUAGCUGCCAGACUUUCAUUUUGUCUAAUACCCUUUAGGCUACUUGCCAAGUACUCCAAACAGAGUGCUUUAUCCUACCUUUAAAAACAGCCGCAAAGGGGGAAGGAGUGAAGACUUACACUUUAGAAUUAUAAAAGUAAUAUGGAGUACAUCAGUAACAAAAACAAAUUUUAAAAGUACAUAGUUACUGUUUAUACAGAGAAACAAAAAAGAGGAAAGCUAAUGAGCCUGCUGCUAACAGAAAAACUGCACUGUUCACCUGGAAAUGAUCUUUUUUCUUUCUUUUUUUUCUUUUUAAAGUGUGAACACAGUCCCUUACUACCACAAACUAUACAGUCAAAGUUUGCCCCACAUGGGGACACCAGAGGAGUCAGCCAGCCCUGACUGCCAUAGACGAGCCUCACCUUAGGGAAAGCCAUGAUCAUGUUAUCACCUCUGCCAGGUAACUAGCACUUUGAUAUAUCUUAUUUGCAAUAUGUAAAUUUUUAAGUUUUGAAUAUAUAUGACAAUAAUAUUCCCUAAGAAGCUUUUUUUCAAAUCUCAUCUCUUAUGAUAUCUCUGCCAGAACCAGCUCUUGUCUUACAUAACUCUACAGUAACUGUUCACUAAACCUUAGUAAGUACGGCAACCAGUCUCCAGCAUGACCUCAGCGGCUUCCGAUCUCUGAUGCAACAGUCACAUCCCGUGUUGGAACCUCCUACUAGAAUUCUGUCUUGAAAGCUCUCAGUCCUGUAGAAAGGCCCAUAUGACAAAGAACUGACACCACCAGCCAACAGCGAUGUGAGUGAGUCAAGCCAGGAAUGAAUCCUCUAACCCCAGCCAAGACCUCAGAGAGCCAAAAGCUUGACUUCAAUAUCAUGAGAGACUACGGAUAAGAAAUACCCAAAUGAGUAGCUCCAGGAUUUGGGAACAUUAGAAACUGUGAGGUUCUGUGUUUCUGUAUGUUUGAUAUAACUUGUUUCAAUGUAACAGGUAACAACUAAUACAGUGACUACUGCCUUGUUUCAAAAGCAAAGUGUACUUUUAAAGGCUUUAAAAAUAAUAAUAAACAGAAAUGUUAGUUACAAAAAUGAGGAAGAAGGAUUCUGCUUUGAAAAUCGUGGCUAAUGUUCACAGGCAAUUGUACCAACAUCAGCUCCUCAGCUCUACUUGUGACAGGGCCAACCCUACUGUCAAUGAACGCCUCCCACCUCUGGAAGAGAAAACAAGUUGUGCAGGUAAGAGUACAACAUAAACUGUCUUCAGAUUGGAAAGGAAAAAUCAGUGUGUCAUUUUUAAAUCGAAAUGACCCAACUCACUAAGAUAAGAUAUCCCACAAGGUCGGUCUCAUCUGUUAUAAACUGAUUCUAGAGUGAUAUCUUGUCACAAAUUAUACCACAGGCCUACUGAUAGACACAUAAGAAAGAUAAGGACUGAGUGACAAAUUUCAGCAGAUCGUAUGACCCAUCUCAAAGCAGAGAUGAUUUUUUUCUUUAUGUAAUGUUUUAUCAAAGCCAGGAUGACCUCGGCACCUUUUCAAGGACACUCAGGCUUCCUAUAAUAAGAAACAGUCCACGUCAAUUCCUCUGUCUCCUGUGUGGGAUACGUAUCGACCCGGGAUCCCACUAAUAGGGAUCUCGUUAAUAAAGUUAAAAAAAAAAAAAAAGAAAAAGAAA